rnacentral:rRNA from 1 species
UAGAGUUUGAUCCUGGCUCAGAUUGAACGCUGGCGGCAGGCCUAACACAUGCAAGUCGAGCAGUAACAGAGAUUAGCUUGCUAAUCUGCUGACGAGCGGCGGACGGGUGAGUAAUGCAUAGGAAGUUGCCCAGUAGAGGGGGAUACCAGUUGGAAACGACUGUUAAUACCGCAUAACCUCUUUGGAGCAAAGCAGGGGACCUUCGGGCCUUGCGCUACUGGAUACGCCUAUGUGGGAUUAGCUAGUUGGUGAGGUAAUGGCUCACCAAGGCGACGAUCCCUAGCUGGUCUGAGAGGAUGAUCAGCCACACUGGGACUGAGACACGGCCCAGACUCCUACGGGAGGCAGCAGUGGGGAAUAUUGCACAAUGGGCGAAAGCCUGAUGCAGCCAUGCCGCGUGUAUGAAGAAGGCCUUCGGGUUGUAAAGUACUUUCAGCGAGGAGGAAAGCUCAAUUGUUAAUAGCAGUUGGGUGUGACGUUACUCGCAGAAGAAGCACCGGCUAACUUCGUGCCAGCAGCCGCGGUAAUACGAGGGGUGCAAGCGUUAAUCGGAAUUACUGGGCGUAAAGCGUACGCAGGCGGUUUGUUAAGCGAGAUGUGAAAGCCCCGGGCUCAACCUGGGAACUGCAUUUCGAACUGGCAAACUAGAGUCCUGUAGAGAGGGGUAGAAUUUCA